AAGAGGACUGUAGUGAGGCUGAGAAUGAAAAGCAGUGCUGAUCUGACAGAUCCAAACAUCAGGGAUCAAGUGCUGCAGCAGCUGGAGGCCUCUCUUCAAAGUCAGCUCUCUGGUGUUGUGAGUCUGUGCUGGAGGCACAUCAGCUGUGAAAAGCAACAAAAGAAAGACACAUGUGUGGAGAACAGCGAUUUACUCUAAAAGAGGACCACAGAGAAGUUUUGACCACAGGAGCAGGACAGCUAUGAUGAAG